GAUGAAGAACGCAGCGAAAUGCGAUACUUGGUGUGAAUUGCAGAAUCCCGUGAACCAUCGAGUCUUUGAACGCAAGUUGCGCCUCAAGCCAUUAGGUUGAGGGCACGUCUGCCUGGGCGUCACAUAUCGUUGCCUGAUGCCAGUUUCCUCGUGAUGGGUGACUGUGCAGGGCGAAUGAUGGCUUCCCGUGAGCAUUGUUGCCUCAUGGUUGGUUGAAAAUUGAGUCCUCGGUAGGGAGCGCCGUGAUAGAUGGUGGUUGAGUGACGAACGAGACCCAAUCAUGUGAGACCCCUACCGAAUUUGGCCUUCAUGACCCACAUGCGUCUUUGGAACGCUCAUGACGAGACCUCAGGUCAGGCGGGGCUACCCGCUGAGUUUAAGCAUAUCAAUAAGCGGAGGA
rnacentral:misc_RNA from 1 species